UACGGAGGGUGCGAGCGUUGUCCGGAAUCACUGGGCGUAAAGGGCGCGUAGGCGGCGAGGAUAGUCAACGGUGAAAGCUUGGGGCUCAACCCCGAGUCGGCCGUCGAUACUUCCUUGCUUGAGCACUGUAGAGGCAGAUGGAAUUCCGGGUGUAGCGGUGGAAUGCGUAGAGAUCCGGAAGAACACCGGUGGCGAAGGCGGUCGGCUGGGCAGUAGCUGACGCUGAGGCGCGACAGCGUGGGGAGCAAACAGG
rnacentral:rRNA from 1 species